CUCUCCUAAUUCAAUAUGGUAUCUAGAGCCUACUAAGAGACAACUUUUCGCCGUGCUUUACCCGGUUGACCCACUGUCUUCCGGUGAUAAUUUUUUUUGCAAACCGUGUCAUCACUCCGGUUUGCCUCUAACUUCUCAAAAUUCUCAGGUAAAACCAUCUUGCCGCCCGAUCCGGCCGUUUUUCCCAGCCGCCCCACUC
rnacentral:lncRNA from 1 species